AACUUUUGACAACGGAUCUCUUGGCUCUCGCAUCGAUGAAGAACGCAGCGAAAUGCGAUAAGUAAUGUGAAUUGCUGAAUUCAGUGAAUCAUCGAAUUUUUGAACGCACCUUGCGCUCCCUGGUAUUCUGGGGAGCACGCCUGUUCGAGUGUCGUGAAAUUCUCAAACUGAGAUGCUUUUUUGUUUCUCGGCUUGGUGUUGGGCUUUGCAGUCCCCUUUGAUUGGGAUGGCUGGCCUCAAAAGCAUUAGCUGGCUUUUCAUGUGGCAUUGGUUCUACUCAGCGUGAUAAUGAUCUGACCGCCGAGGACAUCUUUCGAGAUGGCCAAUUCUCAUUUGGGCUGCUUCUAAUCUUGGUCGAGCAGAUUCUGAAUCUGUUCCACUUUUCAACUUUUGACCUCGAAUCAGGUGGGACUACCCGCUGAACUUAUGCAUAUCAAUAAGCGGAGGCU
rnacentral:misc_RNA from 1 species